GUGAGGGACGGCCUGUGUCAUCGUUGAGGCUUCCUAAGACUCCCAGAGGCUGAUGUGCCUCCCAGACUCGCCUCGGCCCCGCUCCCUGGGCCCUGCUCCAGGGGCUUCAUUGCUCCCUGCCCCGGGUCACCCCUCGGCUCACCGUCUCUCAGGUGUGGAAUAUCCUGCUCCAAUCAAAGCCAUG
rnacentral:lncRNA from 1 species